rnacentral:lncRNA from 1 species
AUGGAGAAGGAAAGAGAACAAGCAAAAGAUCAGUGUCCCGUGAAAGAAGAAAUGACCGAUACCAACUUGACGUUGCAGAAGAAAUCAAGAGGGGUGAGUGUGUGGGGGAGAACACUUCUUUACACUGUCCGACUGACUCAAGGCAGGAACCCUGAUCAGAAACUUAAGAAAAAAGGCCACGAGGCUCAAACUGGAAAUCCUCCUUCGAGUUUUUAUUCUGAGAUUUUACGAUAGAGAAUUAACACUCGCAUGCAUUGCCCAAGGUCACGUCGACUAUAUGAGUUUCCUGUUGUUGUCAUAAGAAAUGACCAAUUAAGAUACGGCUGAUCCAGGAGUUCCUGUUGUGGCUCAGCGAGUUAAGGACCUGACGUUGUCUCUGUAUGAUGCAGGUUCAAUCUCUGGCUUCACUCAGUGGGUUAAGGAUCUGGCGUUUCUCCGAGUUGCAGCAUAGGUCGCAGUGUGGCUGUGCCUGUGGCGUAUAGACCUCAGCUGCAGUUCCGAUUUGACCCCUAGCCCGGGGACUUCCAUAUGUUGCGGGUGCAACCUUAAAAAUUAGAAAAAAAAAAAGAUAUGGUAGCUCUCAUGAUUUUUAGCAGUUCAAUGUAGCAGACCUGGAUAAAGGUACCAUGUCCGGUCUAGCCUAGAGGCACCUUAGGAAAAAGAUAUUGGACUGAAUCAGGAGAAAUCUCUGAGGAAGAGCAUUGGGUUGUGAUUUGUUCGGCGUGGAUUUGCUUCCCAUGGGGGUUCCUAUUGACAGACUCUCCAUCUGCAACCCUCCCCGCUAAAAUGCCUAACUACUUUAUCUUGAGAGGUUAAUUCUGUGCUUUGGUGCUUUUAUACUAAGAUCCCAAUGAAUAAAGUUACACAAUUGUCAAAAGAGAGAGAGAGA